AACGAACGCUGGCGGCAUGCCUAACACAUGCAAGUCGAACGAUACCUUCGGGUCUAUUGGCGCACGGGUGCGUAACGCGUGGGAACCUGCCCUUAGGUUCGGCCUAACUCCCCGAAAGGGGUGCUAAUACCGGAUAAUAUCUUCGACCCAAUGAUUUAUCGCCUUUGGAUGGGCCCGCGUUGGAUUAGCGAGUUGGUAGGUAAAAGCCUACCAAGGCGACGAUCCAUAGCUGGUCUGAGAGGAUGAUCAGCCACACUGGGACUGAGACACGGCCCAGACUCCUACGGGAGGCAGCAGUGGGGAAUAUUGGACAAUGGGCGAAAGACUGAUCCAGCAAUGCCGCGUGAGUGAUGAAGGCGUUAGGGUUGUAAAGCUCUUUUACCCGGGAUGAUAAUGACAGUACCGGGAGAAUAAGCUCCGGCUAACUCCGUG
rnacentral:rRNA from 1 species